CUCCGGCUACGACUGAUCGCCAGCGCCCCGCGCGCGCCCCUUCAAAUGUCGCGCGGCCCAACGGUCGGCAGCAACGGCCGCUCCCGCCCCCGCCCGCGCCCGGGCCUCGCGCUGCUGCCGCCGUCGCUGCUGCUGCCGCGGUGGACGGGCGCUCCUCCGGCGAGAUGCUGCCUGGCCCGCUGACUUACUCCAGCAUUUUGUGUCUAUCUUCAAUUGAACAUGGAACUGGGAAUAAAAUGGGUCAAAGGCACCAAGAAAACAUCAACACAUCAAAACAUCAACAUCAAGAGCAGGAAGGAAAUUUGAGAUGCUGUCUGACUUGCUGAGUAUUUUCAACACUUUCUGUCUGGAAUUCACCCCCUAAGGUUGCACAUAAUGAGAACUUCAGUUAGACAGUAGCAACUUAAGAUUUGGGAACUGUGAUACAACAUUUUAGUGUCUUUGGCAGAAGAAAGGUCAGGCAGCCAACCAUGUGACCAGUGCUGAGAUUUACAACCAUGAGCAGCAAAAACUACGACAAUCAGAAAAUGCAUGAACAUUAUUUUGAAAACUUCCAUUCCAAAUCAGAAGAAAAGGCUUCAGAAAGUAGUAGAGUUCUUCGGAUCUUAGUGAGGAGGGGAUAUACUCAGCGACAUCCCAUGAGAUCCCAAUGUUCUUCCUGUCUAAUGCCACCAUAUUCCUACCCCAACACAAGGCAUUUUGCCUCAACGAUUAGCAGAAGCCAACUUGUUUUCAUCCGAGCAUUAUGGAGUAAGUGGAGGAAAAGCAUCAGAGUAUGUUAAAUGUCCAAGGUCAGUUCUGUUGUGCAGAAUGUCUUGGACCUCGCUCACGAUAGAAUGUUGAAGUGCCAGACCCUCAAUUAAAAUCAUUUGAUGGCCCUUUGGACCUCACAUGUUUAAAACAUCUUUCCAGGCACUGAAGACUUUUAUGAGAGCAUUGAACUAUGAGUUUCUCAUAUUACACAAUUUGGACUAUAUCCAUAUGGUAUUAAAAAAAACAUUGCAUUGAUUUUAUAUAUUUUGGCAAAUGCAGUGAAAAAUGAAAAAACUGCUGAAAAUGUUGUGUUUGUGAAAAGAUGAUAGGACAAAAAAUAGUUGGUAGAAAUGCAAGCUCACUUCACAGCCACACUUCACAGUUGAUCAAAGACAUUUAGAGGACGUUACAUCCUUUUAAAGUAAACAUGAGAGGAAGUAUUUCCACUCUACACCAAAACAUUAUAUGUCACUCAAUUCUUAACACCUCUAUCUACUGCUGCUGACCCAAGGAUUUAAUGGUUUAAAAACAUGCUUUUUAUGAUAUUGGAGUUCACAUUUGGCUUGUGCUAAUUGAUUUUCAAUCCUAGCAUUUAAUACAUUUCUGUAAUGUGGGAACAAAGCAACAGUAAAUUAAAAGUGACAUCCUAUGUAGGGUUAAUUGAAGGACAGACUGGCACAACUUCUGAAAUCACCCAAUGCAUAACAUGGUGAAUUGUUGAUUUUUGAGUUAGUUCUGUCACAAGUAGACUUACCUAUGAUGCAGGUUUCAUACUGGCAAUGAUGGAGCCAAU